UGCACUCACUACUGUAAGUCACUCUGGAUAAGAGCGUCUUCUAAAUGACUAAAA
rfam:Salmo salar isolate Sally breed double haploid chromosome ssa15, whole genome shotgun sequence.